rnacentral:lncRNA from 1 species
AUGCCGGAAUUGUGACGCUUACCAUUUCGGAAGAUGGCUUGUUUGUCCUUUAAUGUAGUUGUAUAGAUAGCGUUGUAGCCUCUCCACCUCUUCCUCGGAAAUCUUUUGUGAUGUCUACAGUAGCUGCCAUGGAACAUCCUGCACCACCUUCAAUUAGGAUUUUCUUUGCCGGAACCGGUGGACAACCGACCUCCUCCACCACCAUUAACAUUCCUCCCCUCUGUCACCCAAUCGCCUGCAGGUUGUUCGACGAAAUGCCACACAUAUUGCACACAAUUUGAAGCUUCCACACAACCGCCCAAGUGCAGUCCGUUGUCGUUGCCUGGACUACUUUUCUUUUACCAAUAUGGUCACUGGUCACCCAA